rnacentral:rRNA from 1 species
AUCUGGUUGAUUCUGCCAGUAGUCAUACGCUCGUCUCAAAGAUUAAGCCAUGCAUGUCUAAGUAUAAAUCUUUUACUUUGAAACUGCGAACGGCUCAUUAUAUCAGUUAUAAUUUAUUUGAUAGUCCCUUACUACUUGGAUAACCGUAGUAAUUCUAGAGCUAAUACAUGCAUCAAUACCCGACUUUACGAAGGGUAGUAUUUAUUAGAUUGAAACCAACCGCUUCGGCGUGAUGUGGUGAUUCAUAAUAACUUUGCGAAUCGCAUGGUUUAAUACCGGCGAUGGAUCAUUCAAGUUUCUGCCCUAUCAGCUUUCGAUGGUAGGAUAGAGGCCUACCAUG